UACGUGGGGUGCGAGCGUUGUCCGGAAUUAUUGGGCGUAAAGGGCUCGUAGGCGGUUUGUCGCGUCGGGUGUGAAAACCCAGGGCUUAACCCUGGGCUGGCUUCCGAUACGGGCAGACUAGAGGUAUGCAGGGGAGAACGGAAUUCCUGGUGUAGCGGUGAAAUGCGCAGAUAUCAGGAGGAACACCGGUGGCGAAGGCGGUUCUCUGGGCAUAAACUGACGCUGAGGAGCGAAAGUGUGGGGAGCGAACAGG
rnacentral:rRNA from 1 species